ensembl:miRNA
CCAUGCCUCAGGCACUAGCAGAGGGUGAACUGCCUGUGACACCCUUGCAGUGCCCGACCUGCUGUCCCUGAGUGGAGCCGGGUCUCUGUC